GUCACUCGGCUCUGCGGGACUCUCGCUGUCCUGCUGCAGGCCGAGCCAGGCUGGCAGCGGGGCUCGGGACAGAAACAGGAAGGACCUGCGCCCAGAGCCCGCCCCGGCCGGGGCCGGACCCGGACGUCCGAGAGCGGCUCAGCUUCGCUUUCGCUUCGCUCUGCACCGCCGGGGCGGCGUGGGCCCGGAGCCGGCGGGGAACGGGCUGUGCCCCGAUCGCCGCCCCACGGAGGGACAGAGAAGGCUCCGGACACAGACCUCCCCAGAGCCCAUCGAUGUCCCCGCGCCUGCUCAGGGCCGUGGGCUGGGCGGCCGUGCUGGUACUGCUGACCGUGGUCGUCUUCGUCAUGGUUCUGAUCCCGGCAAAGGAUGCUGUCCUUCCUACCAGAAUCAAAUACGGCCUGGUGUUUGACGCUGGCUCCACACACACAUCCCUCUACACCUACCAGUGGCGUGCGAACAAGGAGAACGGCACGGGCAUCGUGUCCCAGGUGGAAGCCUGCUCUGUGUCCGGACCCGGCAUCUCCAGCUACGCAGAUGACCCCGCGGGGGCUGGUGCCAGCCUGAAGCCUUGCCUGGACAGGGCCAUGAAGAUCAUCCCGGCCGAGCAGCAGCGGGAGACCCCCACGUACCUGGGGGCCACGGCCGGCAUGCGGCUGCUGAGGGAGGAGAACAGCAGCAAGGCCGAGCAGGUCUUGGUCGAGGUGUCCAAGGCCAUUGGGGAGUACCCUGUGGAUUUCCGUGGAGCUCGGAUCCUGACGGGGAGCGAGGAGGGCUCCUUUGGCUGGAUCACUGUGAACUACCUGCUGGAGACACUGGUCAAGUUCUCGUUUGCAGAGAAAUGGGAACAUCCCCAGGACAUCGAGGUUCUGGGAGCUCUGGACCUUGGCGGUGCCUCGACGCAGAUCACCUUCCAGCCUGGGGUCCCUGUGGAGGACAGGAACACGUCCGUGUUCUUCCGGCUCUACGGCACCAACUAUUCCCUGUACAGCCACAGCUACCUGUGCUACGGGCAGAGCCAGGCCCUGAAGAUGCUGCUGGCAGCUCUGCACCAGGUGCCACAGGGCACGGGAGCUGCUCAGCCAUCUCCCAGUGCCGUGGCACAUCUCCCCCUGCAGCGUUGGGCGUGCCUGUGGGCAAAGAGUUGGGAAUUGGCAGAACCUUGGGUUUUAUCUAGGGAAGCCAAAAAUUGCCUCAUUUGGGUGGAAGGUGGUGGAGGCUGCCAGCCAGGGCUCCCUUCUCCCCACAUCUUGACGUGCAGUGGCAUUUUUUGUAAUUUCCCAAGCCCAGCGGUAUGUGUAGUUUUUCUGCUGUCGCCGUGCUCUUGGCCUUGCUCCAUUUCUGCCCAGAGAGAGGUUUCCCAGCAUAGUCCCUGCACAACUGCCCGAGGACAGAGGCAGAGCCCAGGGCUGCUCAGGGAGCUCCCAGGUGGGGUGCAUCCAGUCCUCCUGGGGUGUAGUCCUGCUUUUUGGGAUGGGCUGUGGGAAGGGUCUCAGUGGCGUUGCAGUCCCAUUAAUGGCUCCAUCCCUCUCCAGGCCAGCUUGAGUACCCAGAUCAAGCAUCCCUGCUACCCCCAGGGGUACCAGGAGAACAUCACUGUGGCAGAGCUCUACGACAGCCCCUGUGUGCAUGCGCCAAGCUCAGCCAGCCCUGGCCCUGUCCUCACAGUGACGGGGACAGGGGACCCAGCCGCGUGUGCCACGGCCAUCCGGAGCCUCUUCAACUUCACCUGCAGGGCGCAGGGGCCGUGUGGGUUCAAUGGGGUCUAUCAGCCCCCCGUGCGGGGACAGUUCUUCGCCUUCUCGGGGUUUUAUCACAGCCUUCACUUUCUGAACCUGACAGGAGGGCGGUCCCUGAGCUUGGUCAAUGCCACCAUCAUGCAGAUAUGCAACAGCAGCUGGAAACAGGUGCAGGAGUUGUUCCCCAUGGCGAGCAGGACCCAGCUCCGUGACACCUGCACAGCCAGCUCCUACAUCCUAACCCUCCUCCUGAAAGGCUACAAAUUCAACAUCACAACUUGGCCCAGCAUCCACUUCAUCCAGCAGGUUGCUAACGUAGAUGUGGGCUGGACUCUGGGCUACAUGCUUAAUCUCACCAACAUGAUCCCCUCAGAGCCUCCUACAGCAGUCACAGAGCUCCCGAGAAGCAUCUGGAUAGCAGCCACACUUCUGCUGGCCAUCAUGCUCAUCCUCAUCUUCUGCCUGCUCACAGCCAUGUGCUGCCACAGAAACUCCUUGGGCUAUGAGCAGCUGUAGCAGCACUGCCUCCAGAGGCUGUCGAAGCCACAAGUCUUGCUGCCACACCUCUGCAAGGAGGGUGACUUAGGAACACUGCUGGGACAUGGCAGAGGCAGCUUCCAGGGCCACACGUACAUUUUUGGGGAGUCCUACUGGCAGCCAAGUGAUGGGUGAAAAGGAAGAGGAUGAGAUGGGUGGUGAGAUGUGAUGAUGAGGUGAUGUGACAUGCCAUAACACAGUGAUGAGAUGAUGAGAUGGACUCUCUGGAGGGCACCCUUCUGGCUGGGUGCUCUGUGUUCUUUCUCCAAGACCAUCUCCACGAAAGCCCCAGCCACAGACCCUCCACAGGGCCAGCUGGGGUCCCACAGAGCAUCCCUCAGGCUAGCAGACCCAGCAGGGACCCACCAGCUCUUGGUGGCCACGCUCAGAGCUGGCAUUCCAUGGAGCACUCUGUCCCCAGGUGCCUGCCUCUUGCUCCAGCAGGCUGGCACCAGGGCACUGUCCCAGGGCCAGGCUGGCCCUCCACAGCCCCAGGGGCAGCUGGUGGGAUGGAGCCAUGGCUGUAACACGCAGAGCACUGACGGAGGCACUGACAGGAGGCAUGCAGGCUCAGCUGAGGCUUCUGCAGGCUGAUCCCAUUGUGCUUCCAUGGGAGUGGAGCUCCUCUGGAAACCUCAGAGAGUGCCUGUCUGCAUGUUGGGGGCCAGGCUCGUGGAAAAGCAAGCCCCAGUUCUCUGAGCUGUGCAGGUGACUGUGCUCAGCAGCACAGACCCAGUCCUGGCUCCAGUUAUGCAAGCAGGAGCAUGGGGACUCCAGUACAGUGCCGCAGCCCCAGUGUUGUCUUGGUUUUCUGGGGUCCCAGGAUGAGGGAAGAGACGACAAAGUUGACUCCAUGUAUCAGAAGGCUUGAUUUAUUAUUAUAUGAUAUAUAAGAUAUAAAAACUAUACUAAAAGAAUAAAGAGAAGGAUUUCACUACUAAAGCUAAGCUAAGAAUAGAAAAGGAAUGUAUAAACUGAGGUCUUCUCAGCCUGAGCCCAGCCGAACAGGUGUUAUGUGAUAGGCCCCCAAUUGCAAACAGUCUGACGGGGCCAAUCACAGAUUUCUUCUUGUCGCUUGUUGCAUUCCACAGCAGCAGAUAAGAACCGUUCACAGUUUGCUCCUGAGGCCUCCCAGCUCCCAGGAGAGGAAAAAAUCCCAAGUAAAGGAUUUUUCACAAACCA